AGGCCAGUGCGAAAAGACUGAAGACUAGAGUUAACAAACUUAUCAAAGGUCAGAAACUGUCCCUCGAAGGAUUUGAGGCCCUCUUGACAGAAAUGCAGUUAGUCACAACAACAGACACUGAAAGAGGAAAAGGGCAACGUAAAAAGAGACCCACCCUGAAGAUGUCAGAAUCUCAGGCUGAAAAGUCGCCGAUGAAAGAAAAAACAAUUCGAAACCAGGUAGAACGUCAAUCUGACGGAGAAGAUGAGGAAAGCCGCAUUGAGGGUCUUCCUCUUGCACCAGAAUCGGCAGAUGAGGAUGGUGAUGAUAUCAAAACAACAUGUGUAAAACCUGAUGACAAGCUAACCAUGAAACUGAAUUCCUCUCACACCAACGUGCCCACAAUAAAUCCAAUUCCAGAAAUUUUCAAACACGUCAUUCAUCUUGAUGAGAAUGAAGGAACUUCAUCUGGCAAGUUUGCAGUUUCACCAUUGAAACCAAAUUCUUGCUAUAAUUAUGGACAACCCUCAAAUAGUGGUGGAUUUCCACAUGACAAAUUUCCAUUGACUACUGAAGCAUUCCAAAAGUUUGUUAUGAUGCAGUUUAUCAAACUGUUUGAAAUGAUGGAGCAACUAAUGAACAAGAACAGGAACACGUACAGACAGCCUAUGGGUAGAGACAUGGUUGUCUUGAGUGAUGAUGAUAUUGGUGCAACCAGCAGUGAUCCAUCUUUUAAACUCAAUAGCUUUGCCCAAUAUGAAGCAUUCACUGCCAAGCUUCAUGAUGGUGAUUUCUUUAGA